AGCGAACGCUGGCGGCAGGCCUAACACAUGCAAGUCGAACGAACUCUUCGGAGUUAGUGGCGGACGGGUGAGCAACACGUGGGAACGUGCCUUUUGGUUCGGAAUAACUCAGGGAAACUUGUGCUAAUACCGAAUGCGCCCUUCGGGGGAAAGAUUUAUCGCCAUUAGAGCGGCCCGCGUCUGAUUAGCUAGUUGGUGAGGUAACGGCUCACCAAGGCGACGAUCAGUAGCUGGUCUGAGAGGAUGACCAGCCACACUGGGACUGAGACACGGCCCAGACUCCUACGGGAGGCAGCAGUGGGGAAUCUUGCGCAAUGGGCGAAAGCCUGACGCAGCCAUGCCGCGUGAAUGAUGAAGGUCUUAGGAUUGUAAAAUUCUUUCACCGGGGACGAUAAUGACGGUACCCGGAGAAGAAGCCCCGGCUAACUUCGUG
rnacentral:rRNA from 1 species